rnacentral:rRNA from 1 species
CGCUAUCUGCAGUCGAGGGGCAGCACAGGUAGCAAUACUGGGUGGCGACCGGCAAACGGGUGCGGAACACGUACGUAACCUUCCUUUAAGUGGGAGAUAGCCCGAAGAAAUUCGGAUUAAUACCCCAUAAGAUUGUGGAGUGGCAUCACUCAGCAAUUAAAGAAAUUCGCUUAAAGAUGGGCGUGCGGCUGAUUAGGUAGUUGGUGAGGUAACGGCUCACCAAGCCAACGAUCAGUAACUGGCGUGAGAGCGCGACCAGUCACACGGGCACUGAGACACGGGCCCGACUCCUACGGGAGGCAGCAGUAAGGAAUAUUGGUCAAUGGACGCAAGUCUGAACCAGCCAUGCCGCGUGAAGGAUGAAGGUCCUCUGGAUUGUAAACUUCUUUUAUAUGGGAAGAAACCACUUUUUUCUAAAGGUGUUGACGGUACCAUAGGAAUAAGCACCGGCUAACUCCGUGCCAGCAGCCGCGGUAAUACGGAGGGUGCAAGCGUUAUCCGGAUUCACUGGGUUUAAAGGGUGCGUAGGCGGAUUAGUAAGUCCGUGGUGAAAUCUCCGAGCUUAACUCGGAAACUGCCGUGGAUACUAUUAAUCUUGAAUACUGUGGAGGUUAGCGGAAUAUGUCAUGUAGCGGUGAAAUGCAUAGAUAUGACAUAGAACACCAAUUGCGAAGGCAGCUGGCUACACAGAGAUUGACGCUGAGGCACGAAAGCGUGGGGAUCAAACAGGAUUAGAUACCCUGGUAGUCCACGCCCUAAACGAUGAUUACUCGACAUUUGCGAUAUACAGUAAGUGUCUGAGCGAAAGCAUUAAGUAAUCCACCUGGGAAGUACGACCGCAAGGUUGAAAC